UUUCCGUAGGUGAACCUGCGGAAGGAUCAUUACCGAGUUGAUUCGGGCUCCGGCCCGAUCCUCCCACCCUUUGUGUACCUACCUCUGUUGCUUUGGCGGGCCGCGGUCCUCCGCGGCCGGCCCCCCUCCCCGGGGGGUGGCCAGCGCCCGCCAGAGGACCAUCAAACUCCAGUCAGUAAACGAUGCAGUCUGAAAAACAUUUAAUAAACUAAAACUUUCAACAACGGAUCUCUUGGUUCUGGCAUCGAUGAAGAACGCAGCGAAAUGCGAUAAGUAAUGUGAAUUGCAGAAUUCAGUGAAUCAUCGAAUCUUUGAACGCACAUUGCGCCCUUUGGUAUUCCGAAGGGCAUGCCUGUUCGAGCGUCAUUACAACCCUCAAGCUCUGCUUGGUAUUGGGCACCGUCCUUUGCGGGCGCGCCUCAAAGACCUCGGCGGUGGCGUCUUGCCUCAAGCGUAGUAGAACAUACAUCUCGCUUCGGAGCGCAGGGCGUCGCCCGCCGGACGAACCUUCUGAACUUUUCUCAAGGUUGACCUCGGAUCAGGUAGGGAUACCCGCUGAACUUAA
rnacentral:rRNA from 1 species